rnacentral:rRNA from 1 species
GACGAACGCUGGCGGCGUGCCUAACACAUGCAAGUCGAACGGAAAGGCCCUGCUCUUGCGGGGUGCUCGAGUGGCGCACGGGUGAGUAACACGUGUGUAACCUGCCCUUGUCUUUGGGAUAACUCCUGGAAACUGGGGCUAAUAUCGGAUAGGAGCUCCUGCUGCACGGUGGGGGAUGGAAAGAUUCGGCGGUUGUGGAUGGAAUAGCGGGUUAUCAGCUUGUUUGUGGAGUAGUGGCUUACCAAGGGUUUGACGGGUAGCCGGCCUGGGAGGUGGACCAGGGACAAUGGUACUGAGGUACGGCGCAGACUCGUACGGGAGGCAGCGGUGGAGAAUAUUACGCAGUAAGCGGAAGCCUGAUACAGCGGCGCCGCGUGCGGGAUGACGGCCUUCGGGUUGUGAACCGCUUUGGCCUGUGACGAGGCGUGAGUGACGGUAAUGGGUAAAGAAGCACCGGCUAACUACGUG